CGUCAAGCUUCCAAGAAAAGCCCUAUACCCGUUAAGGCAUGAUGGCCUGUACCCGAAACCGACACAGGUGGGGUGGUAGAGAAUACCGAGGGGCGCGAGGUAACUCUCUCUAAGGAACUCGGCAAAAUGGCCCCGUAACUUCGGGAGAAGGGGUGCCACCGCGAGGUGGUCGCAGUGAAGAGGCCCAGGCGACUGUUUACCAAAAACACAGGUCUCCGCUAAGUCGCAAGACGAUGUAUGGGGGCUGACGCCUGCCCAGUGCCGGAAGGUUAAGGAAGCUGGUCAGCGCAAGCGAAGCUGGCGACUGAAGCCCCGGUGAACGGCGGCCGUAACAAUAACGGUCCUAAGGUAGCGAAAUUCCUUGUCGGGUAAGUUCCGACCCGCACGAUAGGCGUAACGAUCUGGGCGCUGUCUCGGAGAGAGGCUCGGCGAAAUAGAAUUGUCUGUGAAGAUGCGGACUACGUGCACCCGGACAGAAAGACCCUAUGAAGCUUUACUGUAGCUUGGUAUUGUGCUCGGGCUCGGAAUGCGCAGGAUAGGUGGGAGGCUUUGAUCCAUUGCUUGCGGGUGAUGGUGAGCCACUGGUGAGAUACCACUCUUUCCGAGCUAGAGUUCUAACAGCAACCCGUUAUCCGGGUGCUGGACAGUAUCAGGUGGGCAGUUUGACUGGGGCGGUCGCCUCCUAAAAGGUAACGGAGGCGCGCAAAGGUCUGCUCAGGCUGGUUGGAAAUCAGCCGACGAGUGUAAAAGCAGAAGCAGGCUUGACUGUGAGACCUACAAGUCGAACAGGGAGGAAACUCGGCUUUAGUGAUCCGACGGUUCUGCGUGGAAGGGCCGUCGCUCAACGGAUAAAAGUUACUCUAAGGAUAACAGGCUGAUCUCCCCCAAGAGUUCACAUCGACGGGGAGGUUUGGCACCUCGAUGUCGGCUCAUCGCAACCUGGGGCUGAAGUCGGUCCCAAGGGUUGGGCUGUUCGCCCAUUAAAGCGGUACGCGAGCUGGGUUCAGAACGUCGUGAGACAGUUCGGUCCAUAUCCGGUGCACGCGCAGGAAUAUUGAGAGGAUUUCUCCCUAGUACGAGAGGACCGGGAGGAACGCACCUCUGGUGUGCCAGUUAUCGUGCCAACGGUAAACGCUGGGUAGCCAUGUGCGGAGUGGAUAACCGCUGAAAGCAUCUAAGUGGGAAGCCCACCUCAAGAUGAGUAUUCCCAUGGCAUAAGCCAGUAAGGUCACGGGAAGAACACCCGUUGAUAGGCUCUACGUGGAAGCGCAGUAAUGUGUGAAGCGGAGGAGUACUAAUAGACCGAGGGCUUGACC
rnacentral:rRNA from 1 species